GACGAACCGUGCGAACGUUAUUCGGAAUCACUGGGCUUAAAGCGCGUGUAGGCGGAUCGGCACGUCGGCCGUUGAAAGCCCCCGGCUCAACCGGGGAACGGGCGCCGAAACGACCGGUCUCGAGGGGCGUAGGGGGGGCUGGAACUUCCGGUGGAGCGGUGAAAUGCGUUGAGAUCGGAAGGAACGCCCGUGGCGAAAGCGAGCCCCUGGACGUCAUCUGACGCUGAGACGCGAAAGCCAGGGGAGCGAACGGG
rnacentral:rRNA from 1 species